CUCAUAACUUAUUCUUAAGCUUUUGAUUUGAAAUCAAAAUAUUUGUUUUUAUUGACAAUGUGGGU
rnacentral:tRNA from 1 species